CGCUGGCGGUAUGCUUAACACAUGCAAGUCGAACGAGCUCUUCGGAGUUAGUGGCGGACGGGUGAGUAACGCGUGAGAAUCUGCCCUUAGGAGGGGGACAACAGCUGGAAACGGCUGCUAAUACCCCAUAUGCCGGAAGGUGAAAUCUAAUUGGCCUGAGGAUGAGCUCGCUGUCAGAUUAGCUAGUUGGUGUGGUAAUGGCGCACCAAGGCGACGAUCUGUAGCUGGUCUGAGAGGAUGAUCAGCCACACUGGGACUGAGACACGGCCCAGACUCCUACGGGAGGCAGCAGUGGGGAAUUUUCCGCAAUGGGCGAAAGCCUGACGGAGCAAUACCGCGUGAGGGAGGAAGGCUCUUGGGUUGUAAACCUCUUUUGUCAGGGAAGAAGAUCUGACGGUACCUGACGAAUCAGCAUCGGCUAACUCCGUGCCAGCAGCCGCGGUAAUACGGAGGAUGCAAGCGUUAUCCGGAUUUAUUGGGCGUAAAGCGUCCGCAGGUGGUUGUACAAGUCUGUUGUCAAAGCGUGGAGCUUAACUCCAUAACGGCGAUGGAAACUGUGCGACUAGAGUACGGCAGGGGUAGCGGGAAUUCCCAGUGUAGCGGUGAAAUGCGUAGAUAUUGGGAAGAACACCGGCGGCGAAAGCGCGCUACUGGGCCUGAACUGACACUCAUGGACGAAAGCUAGGGGAGCGAAAGGGAUUAGAUACCCCUGUAGUCCUAGCUGUAAACGAUGGAUACUAGGUGU
rnacentral:rRNA from 2 species